rnacentral:rRNA from 1 species
GAUGAACGCUAGCGGCAGGCUUAACACAUGCAAGUCGAGGGGUAUAGAAAGCUUGCUUUCUAGAGACCGGCAAACGGGUGCGGAACACGUACACAACCUACCUUUAUCAGGGGGAUAGCCUUCGGAAACGGAGAUUAAUACCCCAUAGUAUUAUGGAGUGGCAUCGUUUUAUAAUUAAAGAAUUUCGGAUAGAGUUGGGUGUGCGUAAGAUUAGCUAGUUGGUGAGGUAAAGGCUCACCAAGGCAACGAUCUUUAGCUGAUGUGAGAGCAUGAUCAGCCACACGGGGACUGAGACACGGGCCCGACUCCUACGGGAGGCAGCAGUGAGGAAUGUUGGUCAAUGGACGGAAGUCUGAACCAGCCAUGCCGCGUGAAGGAUGAAGGCGUUCUGCGUUGUAAACUUCUUUUAUUUAGGAAGAAACCACUUUUUUUUAAGAGUGUUGACGGUAUUAAAUGAAUAAGCACCGGCUAACUCCGUGCCAGCCGCCGCCGUAACAC